AUCUAGAGUUCGUCCUUGUGUGGUUUAUGG
rnacentral:piRNA from 1 species